rnacentral:rRNA from 1 species
GACGUAGGGGGCAAGCGUUGUCCGGAAUCAUUGGGCGUAAAGCGCUCGUAGGUGGCUCGGUAAGUCUGCAAUGAAAGACCCGGGCUCAACUCGGGGAACGGUGUGGAUACUACCGAUCUUGAGGCAAUCAGAGGAUGAUGGAAUUCCCGGUGUAGCGGUGAAAUGCGUAGAUAUCGGGAAGAACACCCGUGGCGAAGGCGGCACUCUGGGACGGUACUGACGCUGAGACGCGAAAGCGUGGGGAGCGAACAGG